rnacentral:rRNA from 1 species
CCCUUAGAUGUCCUGGGCCGCACGCGUGCUACAAUGACACAUUCAACGAGUAUUUCCUGAUCCGAAAGGAUUCGGGUAAUCUUUUUAGUGUGUGUCGUGUUAGGGAUAGAUCUUUGUAAUUAUGGAUCUUGAACGAGGAAUUCCUAGUAAGCGCAAGUCAUCAGCUUGUGCUGAUUACGUCCCUGCAAAAUGUACACACCGCCCGUCGCUAUUGCCGAUUGAGUGCUCAGGUGAACCUUCUUGGUUGCUGCAAAGUGAAAAAUUAAGUAAACCUUAGCACUUAGAGGGAAUAAAAGUCGUAACA